UGAAAGGCGAAACGUAAUGUGAAUCGCAACUAACAGUGAAUCAUCGAAUUUUUGAACGCAGACCGCACCCUUUGGUAUUACUCGUAAUACUGAAGGGUAUCUACGUAUGAGUGUCAGCCAAAUAUCAUUUUGGUUCAUGAGGGAAACAUGGUAUUAUCAUAUUCAUCUCAUGAAUACACACAUGUCUUGUGACAUAUCACUUGAAACUUUGACAGUGUCUGGCCUCAUAUGUGGAAGGUUACCCGCUGGAUUUAA
rnacentral:misc_RNA from 1 species